CAACCUGCCAGGGUAAUGAGAUGAAGAAACAAAUAAAAUGUAAAGGCUACAGAAUGAAGAAGCAAGCUGGCACCUCACAGCAUUGGCCCCCUGUAUUGUAACUGGUCAUGUGAUUGUCAGACUCCCCAGAGAGAGUGGCAGUUCCCUGAAAGCUGAGACGAGAUUUUGUUUAUCUUUGUGCUGACCCAGUACUGUCUGUGCCUGUAAACCCCCGUCACCUGAUGGAAUGGAUGUCUGCCCUAUAUCUCAGGGCUUUGUUAUAAACUCAAAUGAAAGGAUAUUUAUGAAAGAACAGUAUGAACUAAACUACAAACACAAGAACGCUGAAUCUCCCGGACUGGCCCUCUGGACUCGAAUAUCAGCACUUGGGGAUGAAUGAAGAAGGUGCAUCAUUUCCAGGGAAGCAGAUUUGCUGUUGACUAAUAAAGACCAUUUACUUGGAGUGGGGCCAACAAAAGCCUAAUUGUCUUUUGUAGCCUGUUUCUGUUUUGUGUUCCAUUUCCG
rnacentral:lncRNA from 10 species